CGUGGGAACCUACCUUUAGGUACGGAACAACAGUUGGAAACGACUGCUAAUACCGUAUGUGCCCUAUGGGGGAAAGAUUUAUCGCCUAAGGAUGGGCCCGCGUUGGAUUAGCUAGUUGGUGGGGUAAAGGCUUACCAAGGCGACGAUCCAUAGCUGGUCUGAGAGGAUGAUCAGCCACACUGGGACUGAGACACGGCCCAGACUCCUACGGGAGGCAGCAGUGGGGAAUAUUGGACAAUGGGGGCAACCCUGAUCCAGCCAUGCCGCGUGAGUGAUGAAGGCCCUAGGGUUGUAAAGCUCUUUCAGCGAGGAGGAUAAUGACGUUACUCGCAGAAGAAGCCCCGGCUAACUUCGUGCCAGCAGCCGCGGUAAUACGAAGGGGGCUAGCGUUGUUCGGAAUCACUGGGCGUAAAGCGCACGUAGGCGGACUGAUUAGUCAGGGGUGAAAUCCCGGGGCUCAACCCCGGAACUGCCUUUGAUACUGUCAGUCUUGAGUCCGAGAGAGGUGAGUGGAACUCCGAGUGUAGAGGUGAAAUUCGU
rnacentral:rRNA from 1 species